rnacentral:sRNA from 1 species
ACUCUUUAGCGUAUUGGCUUCAAUUUAGCCUUGUCGGGCGAUUCGCCAGACACAAACUUAUUGUUUAGA